ACUGUCCCACAGCCAGAAGGGUCAGGACAUAGAAUUACCCUUGUCUGACCAGGGAGGAAACUGGCUCAGAGGGGCAAGGCUUUGCCCAAGGUCACCCAGUUUGUUAUAGGCAGUGCCAGGGUGGGAACCCUGAAAUUUCUGUUAAAAAGGAGCAGAAAUCAGCUCACCUUGUCCUCCACAGGUCCAAUUAAGAAAUGGAGAAACUGUGAUCCAAACAAGGGGAAUGGACACAGGACUGUUCAUGGCAAACAGUGCAGACAGGAUGGAGAGGUCAACAGAUGGUGCUGGGACUCUGGACUUUGAUUUGGUAGGAAAUCAAACGAGACCUCUACCUCACACCCCAUACUAAACCUGAUUCCAGCGCCUCCCCUCUAUGUACUCACCACCACUCUCCUCCAGUCACUCCACAUACACGGCCUGAGCCCUGGACCCUGGGAGACUCCACUGUGAGCAACCUGCACAGAUGACUGACCAGCCAGCAGGCAACUCCAAUCCCAGGAAUGAGUGUGGAUCAUGGGGCUGCACUACGAGACUGCCAGCACUGCGGCUGUGGAAUGGCCUGGCGUUCUACAAUGAGAUGGAGGGCUGCAGGAAGUGACUACAGGCUUUAAAUCAAUGAACAAAUGCAGGCUUGAAGAGCAAAAGGUGGUUCUGUCCAGAUGAAGGUCUGUGGGCUGCACUACUGCUGAUGGGAGUGAGAGACACUACUUGGGGGUGUGAGGGACGACAGUGACUCAGUGGCAAGAAUGUUUAAGGCGGCAGACACAUUAAACUUGUCAAAUCCUUCCUCUUAGGGAGCAAGAGCUUCUCGUAUAACAAACUAUCCACUUCCCAGUAAUGCUGAGCAUCCUUUUCUUUUUUUCUUUCUCCCUGUUCCAACUUGUGGCUCUAAAAGUACUCAUGAAUUAGUGUGGUGUUCACAGUAAGUGCACACAGCAGCUAGGGAACAUCUUAUAGUAUCUAACAAUUCAUAUUACUCAAAUUAAUGUAACAUCAAAUGUGAUACUAAUUCUUUA